rnacentral:rRNA from 1 species
AAUGAACGCUGGCGGCGCGCCUAAUACAUGCAAGUCGAGCGAGAAGACGUAGCAAUACGUUUGUAAAGCGGCGAACGGGUGAGGAAUACAUGGGUAACCUACCCUAGAGUGGGGAAUAACUAGCCGAAAGGUUAGCUAAUACCGCGUACGCUCCUUGGACUUCGGUUCAGGGAGGAAAGCGAUACCGAGGGUAUCGCGCUCUUGGAUGGGCUCAUGUCCUAUCAGCUUGUUGGGAGGUAACGGCUCACCAAGGCUUCGACGGGUAGCUGGUCUGAGAGGACGAUCAGCCACACUGGCACUGCGACACGGGCCAGACUCCUACGGGAGGCAGCAGUAAGGAAUAUUGCGCAAUGGGCGAAAGCCUGACGCAGCGACGCCGCGGUGGGGGAUGAAGGUCUUCGGAUUGUAAACCCCUUUCGGGAGGGAAGAUGGAACGAGCAAUCGUUCGGACGGUACCUCCAGAAGCAGCC